AGCGAACGCUGGCGGCAGGCCUAACACAUGCAAGUCGAACGAACUCUUCGGGGUUAGUGGCGGACGGGUGAGUCACACGUGGGAACGUGCCUUUAGGCUCGGAAUAACUCAGGGAAACUUGUGCUAAUACCGAAUGUGCCCUUCUGGGGAAAGAUUUAUCGCCUUUAGAGAGGCCCGCGUCCUAUUAGCCUGUUGGUGUGGUAAAGGCGCACCAAGGCGACGAUCAGUAGCUGGUCUGAGAGGAUGAUCAGCCACAUUGGGACUGAGACACGGCCCAAACUCCUACAGGAGGCAGCAGUGGGGAAUCUUGCGCAAUGGGCGAAAGCCUGACGCAGCCAUGCCGCGUGAAUGAUGAAGGUCUUAGGAUUGUAAAAUUCUUUCACCGGGGACGAUAAUGACGGUACCCGGAGAAGAAGCCCCGGCUAACUUCGUG
rnacentral:rRNA from 1 species